AUGAUUUUAAAACAGAUGUGCUGGUAGUAAAUCCUACAUGUGCACUCUAUAAAUCUAUUCUUCACCCCCUGUGCACUUACUUGUAGGCUUUGGAGAAAUCCCUAGUCUAUGUUUAUCAUAUACACCCCUAUUUAUCUUAAUGAAUGUCAUCAAGUAAGCUUUCGGGCUGAACGAAUUUAAAUA
rnacentral:misc_RNA from 1 species